CGGCUCCUCCUCUGCAGUGCAGGGGCGGUUCCUCCGGAAGGCAGAGGAGGGUCGUUAGUGAUUGGAGGAGCCACCUGGGCUCAGGGUAUUUAAACGGCUUCACUAACCACUCUUGUCUCUCUCUCUCUGCUCCUCCAGGUAUGAUCCUGUUUUGUUUGUUCCUUUGUAGUUUUGCAUAGUUUUCACUCAGUCGUUCACACACACAGAUUCACGCAUCCCUACACUUUACAUACACCUUACAUUAUGAUACUUUCACACCUCAUUCCUUUUCCUUUGGUUAAAGUUAAUAGUUUUUGGUUUAUAAUAAAGAACCUUUUUGAUUGGCCUAAACCUGUUGUUCGUGUCCCCUCACUUUUGCCACAGGCUAUAAGCAGGCCUGUAACAGCAGUGUGUGCAAAUGUAGAAGAGUAGAGAGGAUGUCAGUGGGCGGAGCCGGGAGUAUCGUCAGCCAGAUGGGACACACCUAGGCGUGGGGGGUGUGUCCCGGGGAUAAAUACACCUUUCCCCCAUUCCUUGAGGAGACUCUCCAUGCAGACACACUGUUGUUGGCUAUGGGCCGGUUUGUGACCGAAGCACAGAAUCGUCUAGAAUGUCAUUGUGUGCUGUAGCGCUAAGAUUUCCCUUCACUGGAACUAAGGGGCCUGAACCAUGAAUAAACAGCCCCAGACCAUUAUUCCUUCUCCGCCAA